GGGAUAGGGGUGUGGGAGCGGAGGACGAGGUUCUGCUUCUUCAAGCUGAACUCACACCCUCGAAUGCUGGAGGAAGAAUUAAAAAGAGAAAGGAAACGGUGACUCUGAGAACCCUGCAGAAAUAGGGAAGCUUUACAAGCUGUGGGAAAGCCUCUGUUCUCAUCAGCAAUAGUGAGAUUUCAUAAGGAACUAAUGAAACGGAGACAAUCUACUCAUGCCAACACUUCUGGAGAGGCUUCACAUGCUUGCAAGGAGGGUAACAAAUUGUGUGAAACUCUCCUCUUGCAGGCUCAAUUCAUGGACAUUUAAUACUAGGGCAACCCUCUGAAAUGUGAAUAUUUUAAAAGAGAGUCUGGAAUAUCCAGCGCCAUCCAGUAUCAUAUUUCCCCCAUCCACCCCUCACUCCCAAGUCCAAGAAAACAAGCAUGUGUCUACCAUGGGGCUCAGAAAGAGCAGGCAUUUCUAAGAGUUCCAACUGCUGACCCUGGGGAGAUACGAUGUUCCUGUUAACCUCAGUGAGCUUCUAAUGAAAGGGACAAGGACCUCAGACUCCUAAGGUGCUCAUCUUUCAAAAAGCAAAUCAUCAUUAAUGAUUAACAUUGAUGAGUUCUGGCACAUUCCUGGGCUGCUGCUGUUUGGAUAAAGACCUUACAGAACGUGAGAGUGCAAAGCAGAGGCCUAUGGUGUGGAGUUUCAUGAAAUGAUCCUCUGUGAAGCUCCACUGAGUGACAGUAGCAGGAACAAGACGGGGGAGCACGCAGUGCCCAUGCCUCCUGCAGGCUGUCCGGGUGCAGAAGUUGGAAGGAGCACGCCAGGCAUGGAGCUCACAUUUCGGAUUUCAGAGCAAAAUACCGUUGAGAGAGCAAGAGAUACACCUGAGUGAGAUGGGAGACUGGCACUAGUGCCUAAACACACACUAUCUUUUAAUGGAGACUAUUACAAAAUAAAUGGAAGGAGAUGGGAGAAUGUGGAUGGAAUUUGCUUGUCACAAUUUUCACGGGUCUGUUGUGUUCUGGAACGUAACCAGCUUGGUUUGCACCCUG
rnacentral:lncRNA from 1 species